AAUUUUGUUGGAAAAGUUUGUUAUUUAAAAAAAAUAAGUAUGCAAAUCAUGUCAACUCUAAAACCACUACUUCUACAAUAUCCACAUCCACGUCUGAUUGGUGGAAAACACAUAUCCAAACCAUCUCUUUAUUCAUUGGGAAUUUCUUUUCUCACCUUUAAAGUAUGACUCACACCAUUGAAAACACAUUUUCCCUCAUGUGUUUUCUAAGAUGCAUCUCCUGGCGCAUCUUAAAGCACCUCAUCCUUCGUAAAUCAAGUUGUCAUCCCAUUUUUUCCAAAAU
rnacentral:lncRNA from 1 species